rnacentral:misc_RNA from 1 species
AAUGCGAUAAGUAAUGUGAAUUGCAGAAUUCCGUGAAUCAUCGAAUCUUUGAACGCACAUUGCGCCCUCUGGUAUUCCGGGGGGCAUGCCUGUCCGAGCGUCAUUGCUGCCCUCAAGCACGGCUUGUGUGUUGGGCUUCCGUCCCUGGCAACGGGGACGGGCCCAAAAGGCAGUGGCGGCACCAUGUCUGGUCCUCGAGCGUAUGGGGCUUUGUCACCCGCUCCCGUAGGUCCAGCUGGCAGCUAGCCUCGCAACCAAUCUUUUUAACCAGGUUGACCUCGGAUCAGGUAGGGAUACCCGCUGAACUUAAGC